AUGCUAGAGUCGUUAGCAGCUACUCAGCUGCUUAAGCUGGUGCACAAGCACAGACCAGAGACAAAGCAAGAGAAGAAGCAGAGGCUGUUGGCCCGGGCCGAGAAGAAAGCUGCUGGCAAAGGGGAUGUCCCCACUAAGAGACCACCUUCGAGCAGGAGUUAACACCGUCACCACCUUGGUGGAGAACAAGAAGGCUCAGCUGGUGGUGAUUGCACAUGACGUGGAUCCCAUCGAGCUGGUUGUCUUCUUGCCUGCCCUGUGUCCUAAAAUGGGGGUCCCUUACUGCAUUAUCAAGGGGAAGGCCAGACUGGGCCGUCUAGUCCACAGGAAGACCUGCACCACUGUCGCCUUCACACAGGUGAACUCGGAAGACAAAGGCGCUUUGGCUAAGCUGGUGGAAGCUAUCAGGACCAAUUACAACGACAGAUACGAUGAGAUCCGCCGUCACUGGGGCGGCAAUGUCCUGGGUCCCAAGUCUGUGGCUCGUAUCGCCAAGCUUGAAAAGGCAAAGGCUAAAGAACUUACCACUAAGCUGGGUUAAAUGUACACUGUUGAGUUUUCUGUACAUAAAAAUAAUUAAAAUACAAAUUUUCCUUCAAAA